GUGUAAAUCCAUUCUACACCAUGUGUGUAAUGAGCAUGAGUGUACAGAUGAUGACAGAGGACAUCCUGUGGCAUUUCAAGACCUGUCAUCGCUGGUCCUUGAUAAAAGACUUCUGAGAGACAUGGAAAAGAUGGCCCUGUUCAAACAUACUGGGCCGCUGGAAGUCUUUCACAGCGCACUUUUGAAAUACCUCCCCAAUGUUAGUUCCUGCACUACAAUGGAGAAGCACGGUUCAACCAAAUGUUCUGCAAGAGAUCCAAGCAGUGGGUCUUGAAGAAAAGCUUCAUACCACACAGUUUGUAGACGAACUCAUCCAGAAGGCCAUUGACAAAAGACUCAAUCCAAACAUUGUGUUCAACGUGCCAACCUCCCCACUGCCACCCAACAUUGCACCAGUGCCUAAACCAUCAAAGGAGGCUGCCACGACUUCUUUCAAAAGUCACUUCUGAGACUGACACUUUCUAAUAAUAAUAAUAACAAUCACCUCUUCCCUGAGUUCUAUUGCUGUGCCUAAUCAGAUUCUGCCACCACUCUUAUAUUUAUAUUAUUAUAUACUGUGUGUAUAUACACACAUAAUUAUUAUUAUGUUUUGCUUUGUUUUUAUUUUGUGCAGGACAUUUUUAGAUGUAAAUUAUGUCCUUGUUUAUUUUAAUGUGUUCUUUCCACUGGUGGCACAAUAUAUUUCCUUUUUGAAUAAUAAAAAAUACAUUUCUUCAUCUAACCCUGUCUUUUGUACACCAAAGUUAUACAUUAUAGACUUGUGGAGGCGCAAUGAUUACUGUUACUGUGAUUUAGCUGUCAUUACUUACUUUACAAAAUAAUUUGGGUUAAAAAUAAAGCCAAAUAUUAUGUGUGUUACAGAAUUUAGACCUAAACUUUAAAAAACGAAUGCUUU